UUCAAUGGCCGCGGUAUUUCUGACCGUGAUGAUGUAGCGAAAUCAAUCGUCACUUAAUUGCUGACCGGUAUGAAAGGUAUCACGAGUGUUCAACUGUCUCUGAAGAAGGCCCUGUNAAAUUGUAGGGGCCGUGCAUAUACGGCACCCCUUGUAAGACNAAAAGACCCUAUNNAGCUUUACUAUUAGUUUCCCNCCUCUUAANGCUUAUAGGUAACCCCCUGUAAGCCUAAUUUCGGGGAGUGAGGUAGUUUCGUUGGGGCGACNNCUUUAAAAAAGCAACAAAGGCUAACAAAGGUAUGAUAUAAAUGUAUCCGACUUGACUACUAGGGGUAUUUCCCGUGUAGACACAUCCGUGAGUCAUAGUAUUCCACCAUAGGUUAACACUUAUGGUGCCAAAACAUAAAAGUUACCAUAGGGAUAACAGCGUAAUUUUGUUGAAGAGCUCUUAUCGAUGACAAAGAUUGCGACCUCGAUGUUGAAUUGUGGUAUCCUGAAGGUGUAGCCGCU
rnacentral:rRNA from 1 species